rnacentral:lncRNA from 1 species
UUUUUUUUUUUGCUUUUUAGGGCCGCACCCACAGCAUUUGGAGGUUCCCAGGGUAGGGGUCCCAUCGGAGCUAUAGCUGCCGGCCACAGCCACAGCCGCACCAGAUCCGAGCCCCAUCUGCCACCUACACCACAACUCCCAGCAAUGCCGCAUCCUUAACCGACUGAGCAAGGCCUGGAAUUGAACCUGUGUCCUCAUGGAUACCAGUCAGGUUAGUUAACUGCUGAGCCAUGACGGCAAUUCCCAAGACAAGAUUUAAUGCAGCACAUACACAACCUCUGAAGUUAGUAGCUGGUAGAUUACAUGCAGCUGAAAAUUGAGCUUAUGAUUUGCUGAAUGGAGGAGGGGGACACUCCAAGUUCAAGGAUAGCCAUUUGUCCCUCCAGCCUGCUUGCGUUAACCAGGUAAAUGGGGCCAGGAUCAGGAGGAGCCCUGAGCAGUAUCAUUUGCAACUUAAAAAGUUAUGUGUACCUAUGGUCACACUAAAAUGCUCAAGGGAGGUUUAUUUACAAGAGGCAACUUUAAAAUAAAUCAGGAAAGAUGCUCUUAUCAAAACAUCUUUUUAUCUAUUCCUAAUUUAAAAUCAAGUGACCCUGUAUAUAAGAGGGGGAAAAAGACUAAAAUUCGAUCACUUAUAAAUUAAUAAGUUAAUAUAGUUCAGCUAACCUAACGGUUUCAUAGGGAAAAAAUGGCAGAAAGGAAUCAAAGAAUUUGAAGAUAUGUUUCCAAAGUAUGGAAACUUUCUGAUUUCUUUGUCCUAAUCAAAUACACCAUAGUGAUCAUUUUAUUAUUAUUAUUAUUUUUUAAUUUUAAGGGCCACACCUGUGGCAUAUGGAAGUUUCCAGGCUAAAGGUUGAAUCAGAGCUGCAGCUGCUGGCCACGGCCACAGCCAUGGCAGUGGCAGAUCCGAGACGCAUCUGUGAACAACAUCACAGCGCAAGGCAAUGCCGGUUCCUUGACCCACCAAGCGAGGCCAGGAAUCGAACCUGCAUCCUCAUGGAUACUAGUCAGGUUCAUUACUGCUGAGCCACAACGGAAACUCCCAUAGAAAUUAUUUUCAAACAAUAAUUCAUUUUACAUGUUAUUCGCUCAAUAUCUUCAACAUUAAUUUAAUGUUCACCUUCCAACAGAAAUUUCUAGAAAUGCACAAUAAUUUUACUACUGAAAACUUCUCUUCAAAAAAAAAAAAAGACCUUGAUUCACAUUUUGCUGUAAGCCUGUACUGGUGCCAUCCAACACAUGAAGUUUUGGAGUGGAUUCCCUUGAAAUACAGGGAGAAACCGUGUUUGAACAAAGAAUUUCAAAAAUAGUAUCUGGGAGUUCCCGUUGUGGCACAGCAGAAACAAAUCUGACUAGGAACCAUGAGGUUGCGGGUUUGAUCCCUGGCCUUGCUCAGUGGGUUAAGGAUCUGGCGUUGCCAUGAACUGUGGUGUAGGUUGCAGACGCAGCUCCAAUGAGACCCCUACCCUGGGAACCUCCAUAUGCCACGGGUGUGACCUUAAAAGGACCAAAAAGAAAAAAAAAAAAGGUCAAAAAUAGUAUCUGUUUUGUGAAACUCAAUUUUCUAGGUGUGUUUAUCAGAAAUGAGUUUUUUCAAAACCCAAGUCAAGUCAGGUUCAGGCAGUGGUUGCCUCCUAUUGACGGGAGCUUCUGAGCUUCUGAGCUUUUCCCGUCUCUUCAGAAUCUUAAUAGCUCUGAACGCAUUAAUCUUAUUUAUGGCUGAGCAAUGUCCCCACCAUCUGCUCUUGCUAGUGUUCCAUCAGAAAAUGUAAUUCUUUUUUAAAAAAUAUAUUCAGCCUCAAUAAUUUGUGUUCGGAAUGUUUUAUUACAAAGCAGGUACAGGGAAAGCGGGGAUAGUGAGAAUAAACUUGAUCGUCUAAAUAAUUGUUUCCACCUGGUUAUAGACAAAAAUCACCAACUGAAUCAUGAAAGGCAAUUCGACAAAUAGUUUACAUUUCUGCUCGCACAGUCUGUUGCCAAAAUUCCAACUGAUAUUUCAGAACUGAACAUUUUUAACAAACUGUACUUUCAGACAGUGCAAAAUGUUUUUGUAUUUUAGUUCCAGAUGGAAUACUGGUUCAGCUGGGUGAAUAACUGAAUAUAAUCCAGCAUGAUCAUUUCUUAUUAAGUUAUAAAACAUAUACACAACUGACCCUCCUUUUUAUAGGCUAUUUACACUAGCAUUGUCAGUGAAAAUACCACGAUAUCAUGAAUUAACACACCUCUUCUUGCCAAAUAUCAAUUUGUUUUAGAGGUUUAAUAAAACCAGAGUGAACAAAAUGAAAAAUUUUUUCUUCUGUUUAAUUUUAUGGCCGCACCUGAGGCAAAUGGAAGUUCCCCAGGCCAGGGAUCAAACCCGUGCCUCCGCCUCAUCCUGAGCUGCUGCAGUCAUAUUCUUAACCCACCGUGCCACAGUGGAAACUCCAAAAAAUGUCAAUUUUUCAAAACUUCUUAAAUUUAUUUUUUAUUUUUAAAUUUAAAAAAUUUUUAAUUUUUGGUCUUUUUAGGGCCACACCCACCCGCAGCACAUGGAGGUUUCCAGCCUAGGGGUGGAAUUGGAGCUGCAGCUGCUGGUCUACACUACAACCACAGCAACGCUGGAUCCGAGCCGUAUCUGUGACCUACGCCACAGCUCAUGGCAAUGCCGGAUCCUUAACCCACUGAGCGGGGGCAGGGAUCAAACCCCCAUCUUCGAGGUUACCACAGUUACUAGUUGGGUUUGCUACUACUGAGUCAGGACAGGAACUCAUAAAACUUUUCUUUUUUUGGUCUUUUUAGGGAGCUGCACCUGAGGCAUAUGGAGGUUCCCAGGCGAGGGGUCAAAUCGGAGCUGGAGCUGCCGGCCUACACCACAGCCACAGCAACGCGGGAUCCGAGCCACGUCUGCGACCUACACCACAGCUCAUGGCAACGCCCGAUCCUUAACCCGCUACAUGAGGCCAGGGAUUGAACCUGGGUCCUCAUGGAUCCUAGUCAGAUUUGUUUCCGAUUGAGCCACCACGGGAACUCCCCUGAAACUUUUUUUUAAAGUAUAGCUGAUUUACAAUGUUGUGCCAUUGUCUGCUGUACAGCAAAGUGACCCAGUCUUGCGGACAUUCUUUUUCUCAUACUAUCUUCCUUCAUGUUUUAUUCCAAGAGACUGGAUAGAGCUGCCUGUGCUGUACAGCAGGACCUCAUUGCUCAUCCAUUCUAACUGUAAUGCUUGCAUCUACCAACCCUGCACUCCCUGUCCAUCCCCACAUCUUGUCUGUGAGUCUGUUUCUGUUGCGCCAGCAGUGGCCCCAUGGGAACCCAGGUCACUUGAACCUGACCCCCAGUCUUCCCCACGCACCUGGCUCUAACAUCUAAGGUCUGAGGUCCUCUAACUACGAGACUCCACAACAUGCCCCGUGAUAUUCGUCUCCUGGCUCCCUCUUCCCUCCUUCCUUCACGGUAGCCCCUGCUUCCCUCUCAAAGGCAGAUAGGUCGCAACAGGGCUAAUACUCUGUUUUGAACAUGCUACGCUCUGCUCAACACUUACGGGGUUUUUUUACAUUCAGACAAAUCCUGAACAAACUAUAUGCUACAUACAUCUCGUCAAAAGCUGGUUUUUUUCCUCACUAAAAAUGAAGCAAUUUUUAAAAAAUGUAAUGGCUUCAGAUUACUCUUGCAAAUUUUCUAAACUGAACCUGUCAAUUGCCAACAUAAACACGUCUAAGACAAAGACACAGCUAACUAUUCCAAAUGUGACUCAGUAUAGAAACACCUAUGAUAGCAUAAAAACAAAAAGAAAAUGCCACUAUAAGCAUUUGUAACUUCUGCAGGACUGUCUCCCAAAUCCAGAGAAAUGAAAUUCCACAGGAACUUACCUAACAAACACUACCCUUAACAACAUGAACCCAACUUUAAGAUGUUCAUUGAAGGUCUACUUAUAGCCAAAGUGGAAGGCAGUACAAGAUCAAGGUUUUAAAAAGGUUUUAAUGCAUUUAUGCAGCGCUGUGCGCCUUGCUCCGUGUUCUAUGUUGUGCUUGUCACUGAGUAAAAUGUACCUGGUUGGUUUGACCAAAUGCAAGCAUUUUCAAGUACUUGUCAGUCCUGCACCUUAUCAUUUGCAGGCUGAAGACUCCAGGUCUCACCUCAGACUGCUUUCUAAUCGCAAGCAGGCACUUCCGUUGUUUGGGCCACUAGGUUAAGUAAGCAAGGGCAGCCUAGAAAGACUUUUUUCCAGUCCCACUGAUCAAGGUCAUGGCUAUCUAUCACAGGGACCCAUAAUCACACCCACUCACAGCUCUCAUUAGCUUACAAAAAAGAAAGAACUCUCAACGGUUGGCCCUUGGCUCCCUGGCAGGAAGAGCCUAGUUUAGGCACAACCAAACAUCAAAUAGUUACGCUGAUGAUCUUGUCACUGGAUCCUGCAAUCUACCCUUUUUUUUUUUUUUUUUUUUUUUAAGGCUACACCCGUGGCAUAUGGAGGUUCCCAGGCCAGGGAUCCAAUCAGAGCUGUAGCUGCCGGCCUACACCACAGCCACAGCAAUGCCAGGUCGGAGCCACACCUGCAACUUACACCACAGUUCACAGCAACACUGGAUCCUUAACCCACUGAGCAAGGCCAGGGAUGGAUCCUGUGUCCUCAUGGAUCCUAGUCGGAUUUGUUUCCGCUGAGCCACGCCGGCAACUUCUGUAAUCCACUUUUUACAAGAUAAAUUCACCUAAACUGUCACUUUCAGACGGAUCGACUUGCAUCCCAAAAAUCAAGACGAAAACUUUAGCUUGCAAACUAAAACCUUAACUUUCCCAUGGAUAAUGCUUACAAAACAAGAUUCUUAUUUACACUAGAACGAACAGAUGAACCAAUCACAAGGUAAAAUUAAACAUUCUGCCAAGCAAAAC